CAGCAGCCACGGUAAUACGGAGGGGGCUAGCGUUGUUCGGAAUUACUGGGCGUAAAGCGCACGUAGGCGGCUGUGUAAGUCAGAGGUGAAAGCCCGGGGCUCAACCCCGGAAUAGCCUUUGAGACUGCAUAGCUUGAACACGGGAGAGGUGAGUGGAAUUCCGAGUGUAGAGGUGAAAUUCGUAGAUAUUCGGAAGAACACCAGUGGCGAAGGCGGCUCACUGGACCGUUGUUGACGCUGAGGUGCGAAAGCGUGGGGAGCAAACAGGAUUAGAUACCCCUGUAGUCCCUGUCUCUUAUAC
rnacentral:rRNA from 1 species